rnacentral:rRNA from 1 species
UAUCCGCCCGGGAACUACGAGCACCAGCUUAAAACCCAAAGGACUUGGCGGUGCUUUAGAUCCUACUAGAGGAGCCUGUUCUAAAACCGAUAACCCCCGUUCAACCUCACCUUUCCUUGUUUUCCCCGCCUAUAUACCGCCGUCGUCAGCCCACCCUAUGAAGGUUUAAAAGUAGGCUCAAUUGGCACAGCCCAGAACGUCAGGCCGAGGUGUAGCGUAUGGAAAGGGAAGAAAUGGGCUACAUUCCCUAUCUUAGGGUACACCGAAUGGUGUGCUUGAAACGCACAUCUUGAAGGAGGAUUUAGCAGUAA